UCUCCGUUGGUGAACCAGCGGAGGGAUCAUUACAGAGUUGCAAAACUCCCAAACCAUUGUGAACGUUACCUAUCCCGUUGCUUCGGCGGGCAGCCCCGACCCCUCGCCCGGCGCCCCCCAGCCCCCCGUGGGCGCCCGCCGGAGGUAAACCAAACACUUGAAUUGCAUGGCCUAUCUGGGUCUGCUGUACUGAAUAAGUCAAAACUUUCAACAACGGAUCUCUUGGUUCUG
rnacentral:misc_RNA from 1 species